GAUGAACGCUAGCGGGAGGCUUAACACAUGCAAGUCGAGGGGCAUCACGGGUAGCAAUACCUGGUGGCGACCGGCAGACGGGUGAGUAACGCGUAUGUAACCUACCCCAUACAGAGGGAUAACCCGGAGAAAUUCGGACUAAUACCUCAUAAGACCACACGAGGGCAUCUGAGAGUGGUUAAAGUUCCGGCGGUAUGGGCUGGGCAUGCGUAACAUUAGCUAGUUGGUAGGGUAACGGCCUACCAAGGCUACGAUGUUUAGGGGUCCUGAGAGGGUGGUCCCCCACACUGGUACUGAGACACGGACCAGACUCCUACGGGAGGCUG
rnacentral:rRNA from 1 species